UAUUACUGGGGGCUGGAUGCUGGCAGUCUAUGAUUGCAUGUGCUCGCUCUCUUUAAUCUAACUUACACAUGUGCACUCAAUUUUGAAGACGAGGUAAAGCUUGUCUUUGGGAUUUUAUAAACUCUUACUCGAUGUAAUGAAUGUUUUUGUCUGCCGAAAGGCAAAAUUUAAUACAACUUUUAACAACGGAUCUCUUGGCUCUCGCAUCGAUGAAGAACGCAGCGAAAUGCGAUAAGUAAUGUGAAUUGCAGAAUWCAGUGAAUCAUCGAAUCUUUGAACGCACCUUGCGCUCUCUGGUAUUCCGGAGAGUACGCCUGUUCGAGUGUCAUGAAACUCUCAGGCAGAGAUAGCUUUGUUGCUGUUUUUGUUUGGAUUUGGACUUUGCUGUGCCAAUGCGGCUGGUCUUAAAUGUAUUAGCUGGUCCUAAUAUGGGGGUUUUGGUUCUACUCAGCGUGAUAAUUAUCUGACGCUGAGGACAGUCUUAGGACUGGCCAGAGCUUAUGUUUGGAUUGCUUCUAAUUGUCCCUUGGACAUACUGUUCAAUUGUCUGACCUCGGAUCAGGUGGGAUUACCCGCUGAACUUAAGCAUAUCAAUAAGCGGAGGAA
rnacentral:sRNA from 1 species